CAGAGACGACCAGAAACGCCAAGGCAGCAGCAGCAGCGAAUCGUCAUCAACACCUGCCCAAGCUCUGCAGUCCCCUCUACAUAUAUGGAGAUCGCCAGUGAAUGAUCCAAUUUGGGCAGCCGCUUCGUGUUCUAUGUAUGGAGGAAGUGUCCCAAACAUCUUCCAUGGGGUGUCCGGAGACGAUCCAAGGAGGACCAGCGUCUUCCUCGGCGGCAGGGGCCAAUGUCAGGGCGAGGCGAGGCGCUCCUCCCGCGGGAGCGAUUUGUUCCCAGCUCGAGUGCGAGCAACAAUUACCCCGGGCCAACACCGACACAAAGCCACAGGCAGAGAGCCCCCGAAUAGCCUUCAACAGACUGUGGGGCAAGUACUCUUUGCGAGCACCUAUUAUUAUUAUUAAAGGGCGGCACAGCACGCGACAAGGUGGGUGGCCAACACCACGCCCGCCCGCCUUUGUCUCCCCAGUACCGGACUGAUGUUUUGCGCGCCGUACCAGGUAUUCAUUUGAGGCUGAGUCGAUCUAGGGGAAGUACAGGACCGGUUCAAAUAUUUGUGUUCACUGUCAUUGGCCGUGAGCGGCGAUAUGACUCGGGUCACCGGGUUUGUAACGCAGAGUGCGCU